UGCCCCUUCUUCAGAGCCUGCUCUGGUGCUCUGCCAGCUCACACAGCAGAGUGUGAUUCACAUACUGCAGCCCAGAGUCAGGUUGUUGCAACAUUGAAAUGGGUGUGGUUGGCAGGAUGGCUGGGCAUAAAUCACUACAGAACUAAAGCGAAUGUGUGCACUGUCCCAGGCUGGACUUGAAUAGACACAGGAAUUGUGGAAAGAUGAGGACAAGAUAGCAGAGAACAAUGGAAAAACCAGCUAUAAAGAAAAUGAGGACAUGCUAAAGGAGUUAUUUGUGCACAUUUGGGGGUAUAUUUUCUUGGGUGCAAAGUAAAACCAAAAGCUUCUAAAUGCCGAAAUGGGGAGAACUGUGUAUGGUAAAUAGGUAUGAUUCAUGAUGACAAAAUUGAAAGAGUAAUCAAUACUGAUACAGUAAUAUUUGGAAAUAAUAAAAAAGUUAAAGUUGUUCCCCCCUCUCCCACCCACUUCUCCUGCAGAUGUUCAGAACAGGAGGAAGCAAGAGAUAACUAUGACUAAAUUUAGUUGGAAUAGAGGAGAAUUUGGUUGGACACCAGGGAAAUGUUGAUUAUAUGAGAUCCACUGCUUUAAUGUUAGAACACAAUAUUGGCGUAUACAGUACCAGCUGGGUGCGCAUGUGUAAUCCAAAAGGUGAACUACAGGACAUGGAGGAAGAGGAGAGGCCUUCCUCAAAGAAGAUCCCCAAAGAGUGGUACAAUGUGGAAGGGGCUAACAGCGGGCCUGUUAGCUAAAGGAGCAAGAAGAAGCUGAGAAGAAAGAAGAAGCUGAUAAGGACCUCUCUCCAAGGCUGUAACCAAGGAGACCAAGAGAAUUGAGGGACUGAAGAAAGAUAAGAACUUCGCAGCUGCAUGAAGUAUAUUUAGAAAGUUAGUUAAGUCACUGUAACUUUUCACCAAUGGUGUUAUGUUGAUUUAUUGUAUCCAAUAGUUAGGGUAGAAGAAGCAUAAACAAUUAAAAAGUGUAUAAAAGGUCAGCCAUGUUCAAUAAUAAAGUGUUGCCAUCUGAAACUGCUUGUGAUCCCUGCUUUGUGUCGUGACCGCCUCGACAACGACAUUUGGUGAUCCCUGACGUGAUACAAGACCCUUAACGAGAUACUCGGGAUCCUAGCAAUUGGCAACCGUGACCCACUGGGACGUAGUGGGGGAGGCGGCGUUGGUGUAGCUGAGAGUGGCCGGUGAAAGCCACAGGGAGGUCCGGACCUGAUUUUCUCCUAUCAAGACACCUGGAAUUAGGUGAGCCACCAACUAGCGAUAAUGGGAAAUAAUUUAUCUAAAGAGGAAGAAAGUGUUUUGGCUACAUGGAAAGUUUUGUUAAGAAAUAAGGGAAUCUUUACUUCAGACUAUGCCCUUCAAAGUUUAUUGCUGUGGGCUAAAUCACAGGGUUUUGGCACGGACCCUGGUACAGCAUUUAGUGUUAAGGCAUGGAAAAAAGUCGGGGACAGACUAUGGGAAGUUAUCCGAGCGGGAGAUAAAAGUGUUGUCGAUUUAGCUGUUACCUGGGGAUCGCUCUUUGAGGCAUUGAAACAAUGGAAAACAGAGCAGAAACAAGCAGAGCGGGAUGUGGACGAAGAAUCGGGGUUGACAAUAGAAACUGACGGGGGGGAUGAGGCAGACGGGGCCUCUGAUGGGGAACUUGCUGAAACUGUCCUUGAAGAAGGUGCAGGUGCUGUGGAAGUUGCCAGGCAGGCUACCAAGGCUUCCAGGAAAGCUGCCAGAGUUUCUAGGCCGGCUGCCAAAGCUUCCGGGAAAGCUGCCAGAGCUUCUGGGCUGGAUGCCAAAGCUUCUGGGAAAGCUGCCAAAACUUCUGGGAAAGCUGCCAAAGCUUCUGGGAGAACUGCCAAAACUUCUGGGCAAACUGCUGUGGCAUCUCCUUAUCAGACUCCUAAACCUCUGUAUCUCACACCUGCGCAGCAGCUCGCGAUGGUGCCUGUAUACGAUACACCGCUACGCCAGCUAGCUGAACUGUCUUUAGCAGAGAGAGAAACCCAGCCAUCUGCCCCCCCGCUUCCCUCUGCUCUAGUCCAGCCAUCUGCCCCCCCACUCCGCUUUCAACUGCAUGAACAAUCUGCAAGGUCGUAUCCUCCGUUACCUAGCAGUGACAGCGAAUCAAGUGACAAGUCACCCGCAGUAACACCUGAGUUGGGGCAAGGAACUGUUGUCAGUUUACCUUUUAAUAGCUCUAGCCCUACUGCCCCAUGGACUUUGCCUCCAUGUCAAGUAACUGUGCUUCCUCGACAUCCUCAGGAGUUUUGGGAAUUUGUUAGAAAAAAAGCAGUUGAAGAAAAUAAUUGGGACAUAAUAGAAAGAUUAGGUCCUCCAAAAGUACCUCAGGAGAAGAGUGCUGAUGUAAUUGCUGCCUGUACUAACCCUAUGGCUUUUCCAGUUUUUAAAGCAGCUCCUGGAACAAGGCAGGAUGACAGUCAUCAUGUCUUUGCCUAGAGUUGUACAAGAUCUCCAGUCGAAGAUCUCGGAAAACAGCUCCAGGACUUUAUGAGCUUUUUGCAGAUAUUAUCAUCAAGGGCCGCAGGCGUUGUCAUGAAAUUUUGGGACACGACCCUGUGACCAUUGUGAUACCUGUGCAACAGUGGUAUUUUGAAUGGUGCUUUCAAAAUAAUCAUGAAUUGCAGUCUGCCUUGUCUUCUUUUACAGGCCAAAUAAAAUACCAUUUACCUUCUCAUCCAAUUUUAAAACUGACCAAGGAGAUUCCUUUUGAAGGAAAACAAAUUUGUUCUCCUGUUCCAGUGGAAGGUGUAACGGUUUUUACGGAUGGAUCCGGGAAAACCGGAAAAGCAGCUGUAGCUUGGAAAAAGGAUGACCACUGGGAAUAUGAGACAAUGAUUCAGCAGGGAUCUCCUCAAUUGGUUGAACUCUGUGCUGUUCUUUUGGCUUUCACUUUAUUUCCUGAUUCUCUAAAUAUAGUCACUGAUUCUAUCUAUGUUGCCAAUUUGGUUAAGCAGUUAGAUCAAGCAGUGUUGUAUAAUAUCCAAGAGAAACCAUUGUUUACCAUGUUAAUGAAGUUAUGGACAGUCAUUGGUGCUCGAAAACAUCCUUACUUUAUCAUGCAUGUUCGCAGCCACACAUCGUUACCAGGAUUUUUUGUUGAAGGCAAUGCCUAUGUAGAUUCUCUAGUAGCUGCUGCUGCAAUCAAAACCAUACCUAAUGUGUUGCAGCAGGCAAUUUUGUCUCAUCAAUUUUUUCAUCAAAGUGCUCGAGCUUUACAGCAGCAAUUUAAAUUGUCUCCUGGUGAAGCGAGAUCAAUUCUUUCUUCCUGUCCUGACUGUCACAUGACUCAUGUCACUCAGUAUUAUGGUACCAACCCUAGAGGUCUUUCCGCUUUAGAGGAAUGGCAGACGGAUGUUACGAAAAUGCCAGAAUUUGGUCGCUUUAAGUAUGUCCAUGUUACGGUUGAUACCUUUUCUUAUGCAAUGAUUGCUUCAGCAUUCACAGGAGAAAAAACUCGUGAUGCUAUUCGUCAUUUUUAUCACGCUUUUUCUUUUCUAGGUGUUCCGUGUCACAUAAAAACAGAUAAUGGCCCAGCAUAUGUUUCACAAAAAAUGCAAGCAUUCUUUCGUGCUUGGGGCAUUGAACAUUCAACAGGUAUUCCACAUGUCCCCACAGGCCAAGCAAUUAUUGAAAGAGCUCACGGUCUUCUUAAACGUCAGGUUCAAAAACAAAAAGGGGGAAUGCAACAGGAAUCACCUCAAGUGAGAUUAGAUAAAGCUGUUUAUGUGUUAAACUUCUUGCGUCCCCUACCUGACUCACAGUUAUCUCCAAUUUUUUACCAUUUUUCUUCUUUGAAUGCUAGGCAACCAGAUCUCCGUAGAAAUGUUAAGGUAUGGGUCAAGGAUUUAAUUACUGGCAUGUGGUCUGGCCCAGUGGAAUUAAUAACCUGGGGAAGAGGUUAUGCUUGUGUUUUAACAGAUAAUGGUCCUCGAUGGGUUCCUGCUCGCUGUGUCAAACCUUAUCUGGAGCGAGCAGGCAGGGACAAGACGGAUGGCUCCGCAGCUGAAGCAGAACGUGCGGAUGACACUGGCUAAGGCUAUAUCUAGAUAUAAGUCAGGAUAUGCAUUUCAUUGCUCUUCAUGUGCUUUCAUAGUAAUUAAAGGGUGUAGUUUUGGUUUAGGCUGACCGAGACAAUGCAGGUUUUUGGAACCUUUUUUCUAGUAUUCCUGCAGCUCCUUUUGAGCACUUUGGGGUGGUUAUAGUUCACGGCUUUAUGGGAUAAAGUAGUUAGGAAAUUUUAAAGCACCUAUAGAUGGAUGAAAGACAGGAAUGAUUGUAUUAAGAAUGGGAAUGUUGAUUUUGUUGAUGGUUGUGAUUGUUGUUUUGUGUUUCCCCUCUCUGCUUGGAUUUUUGCAAAGGGCCCUGCAAAAAUCCAUAGCAGCUGUGUUUAAAAACAAAAAGGGGGAAUUGUGGAAGGGGCUAACAGCGGGCCUGUUAGCUAAAGGAGCAAGAAGAAGCUGAGAAGAAAGAAGAAGCUGAUAAGGACCUCUCUCCAAGGCUGUAACCAAGGAGACCAAGAGAAUUGAGGGACUGAAGAAAGAUAAGAACUUCGCAGCUGCAUGAAGUAUAUUUAGAAAGUUAGUUAAGUCACUGUAACUUUUCACCAAUGGUGUUAUGUUGAUUUAUUGUAUCCAAUAGUUAGGGUAGAAGAAGCAUAAACAAUUAAAAAGUGUAUAAAAGGUCAGCCAUGUUCAAUAAUAAAGUGUUGCCAUCUGAAA